rnacentral:rRNA from 1 species
ACUCCUACGGGAGGCAGCAGUGGGGAAUAUUGCACAAUGGGGGAAACCCUGAUGCAGCCAUGCCGCGUGUGUGAAGAAGGCCUUCGGUUGUAAAGCACUUUCAGUGGGGAGGGAAGGUAGUGUAGUUAACACCUGCAUUAUUUGUACGUUACCUACAGAAGAAGCACCGGCUAACUCCGUGCCAGCAGCCGCGGUAAUACGGAGGGUGCGAGCGUUAAUCGGAAUUACUGGGCGUAAAGCGCAUGCAGGCGGCCUGUUAAGUCAGAUGUGAAAGCCCGGGGUCUUAACCUCGGAAUUGCAUUUGAAACUGGCAGGCUAGAGUCUUGUAGAGGGGUUAGAAUUUCGAGGUGUAGCGGUGAAAUGCGUAGAGAUCUGAAGG